GAGCCCGUUAAUGGAUGAUGGCGUGCCUUUUGUAGAAUGAACCGGCGAGUUACGAUUUGAUGCAAGGUUAAGCAGUAAAUGUGGAGCCGUAGCGAAAGCGAGUCUGAAUAGGGCGUUUAGUAUUUGGUCGUAGACCCGAAACCAGGUGAUCUACCCUUGGUCAGGUUGAAGUUCAGGUAACACUGAAUGGAGGACCGAACCGACUUACGUUGAAAAGUGAGCGGAUGAACUGAGGGUAGCGGAGAAAUUCCAAUCGAACCUGGAGAUAGCUGGUUCUCUCCGAAAUAGCUUUAGGGCUAGCCUCAAGUGAUGAUUAUUGGAGGUAGAGCACUGUUUGGACGAGGGGCCCCUCUCGGGUUACCGAAUUCAGACAAACUCCGAAUGCCAAUUAAUUUAACUUGGGAGUCAGAACAUGGGUGAUAAGGUCCGUGUUCGAAAGGGAAACAGCCCAGACCACCAGCUAAGGUCCCAAAAUAUAUGUUAAGUGGAAAAGGAUGUGGCGUUGCCCAGACAACUAGGAUGUUGGCUUAGAAGCAGCCAUCAUUUAAAGAGUGCGUAAUAGCUCACUAGUCGAGUGACACUGCGCCGAAAAUGUACCGGGGCUAAACAUAUUACCGAAGCUGUGGAUUGUCCUUUGGACAAUGGUAGGAGAGCGUUCUAAGGGCGUUGAAGCAUGAUCGUAAGGACAUGUGGAGCGCUUAGAAGUGAGAAUGCCGGUGUGAGUAGCGAAAGACGGGUGAGAAUCCCGUCCACCGAUUGACUAAGGUUUCCAGAGGAAGGCUCGUCCGCUCUGGGUUAGUCGGGUCCUAAGCUGAGGCCGACAGGCGUAGGCGAUGGAUAACAGGUUGAUAUUCCUGUACCACCUAUAAUCGUUUUAAUCGAUGGGGGGACGCAGUAGGAUAGGCGAAGCGUGCGAUUGGAUUGCACGUCUAAGCAGUAAGGCUGAGUAUUAGGCAAAUCCGGUACUCAUUAAGGCUGAGCUGUGAUGGGGAGAAGACAUUGUGUCUUCGAGUCGUUGAUUUCACACUGCCGAGAAAAGCCUCUAGAUAGAAAAUAGGUGCCCGUACCGCAAACCGACACAGGUAGUCAAGAUGAGA
rnacentral:rRNA from 1 species